rnacentral:rRNA from 1 species
AGCAUUGACCAUGCAUACCAGAAAAUACUGGAUCCUGUCCAAUCUCUGAAGGUGGAUUGGUAAUGGCCUAGUCAGUACAAUGGUGGGGGACCAUGUGAGUAUACUAAAUGUUGAUGUUU